UUCCUGGUAGCUCAGUCGGUAAAGAAUCUGCCUGCAGUGCAGGAGACCCAGGUUCGAUCCCUGGGUGGGGAA
rnacentral:tRNA from 1 species